UUUAUUUAAAACAUUGUUUUAAAUAUUUAAAGUCUUUGUUAAAAUACUGAUUACAAUUUAGAACAUUUUAAAACCAAAACCUAAUAUGUUUUACAAAACCAGUAUUCACCCUAGUAUUUUACAAAAAUGGUUUGAAAUAAUUAUGAGUGAUUUAUUUUCUCUGUUUGUGCCGUGGCCUUUUUUUCCCGUUAUAUUGCGACAAUAGAUUACAUUGUUGACUCAGAUCUUGGACGAGAAGGAUUUGAAGACCCCGGGAACUUUGUUGAGCGAGGAAAGCAGCCCAUUCGACCAUGUCUAAGAAAACAUUUAAUGCAUCGCAUAUGGCACUUUAUUUCGUCC
rnacentral:lncRNA from 1 species